rnacentral:rRNA from 1 species
GACGAACGCUGGCGGCGUGCUUAACACAUGCAAGUCGAACGGAAAGGCCCUGCUUGCAGGGUGCUCGAGUGGCGAACGGGUGAGUAACACGUGGGUGAUCUGCCCCUUACUUUGGGAUAAGCCUGGGAAACUGGGUCUAAUACUGGAUAGGACCAUGCUGUAGGUGGUGUGGUGGAAAGAUUAGUUUCGGUAAGGGAUGAGCUCGCGGCCUAUCAGCUUGUUGGUGGGGUAAUGGCCUACCAAGGCGUCGACGGGUAGCCGGCCUGAGAGGGUGGACGGCCACAUUGAGACUGAGAUACGACCCAGACUCCUACGGGAGGCAGCAGUGGGGAAUAUUGCACAAUGGGCGCAAGCCUGAUGCAGCGACGCCGCGUGGGGGAUGAAGGCCUUCGGGUUGUAAACUCCUUUCAGCCAUGACGAAGCCCUUGUGGUGACGUUAGUGGUAGAAGAAGCACCGGCUAACUACGUG